UGACGAAGCUUUCCGAACGCUGCCCAGCC
rnacentral:sRNA from 1 species